AGCUGCACAGAAGUUCCUAAGAUAGUAGUGCUACAGCAAUAUAUGUAGUAUUUUACAUAGUUAGAAUUUAAUCAAAUAUUAUUAUAAUACUAAAAUGAAGCAUCAUUAAGUUAAUUUGAUAAGAUAAAAAAUGUUAUUCGAAUGGCGUCACAUCUUCGUAAAAAUACAAUCUAAUUAAAUAUAACAGUUUAAAUUUCAUAUUUAAAUAUAUUCAAAUUUUAUACUUGUUAAUUAAUUAAUAAUUUUAUACU